rnacentral:lncRNA from 1 species
UUUAGUAAAUAUUUAUAUUUAUUAAAAUGACAUAUAAAUUCAUUGAAACUUUAAAUAUCAUGGCAUUUAAUAUGCUAUUGAAUGUGUCACUCUCAUAAUUAUCAUAUGAUAAAUAGUUUUUAAGUAAAAGAUUUCAACACUUUCAAUUGAUUUUAUACUUAAUGAUUUAAAAAUAAAAUUUCAAAUUUUAUAAAAAUUUUAUGAAAAAAUAAUUUUUUUUUAAUCUUUUUUAAAAUCUUUUGAAUUCUUUUUAUAGAAUCAAAUUUUUAAUUUUUAAUAAUAUUUUUUUAUAAGUUGAUGAUUUAAUUUAAUAUUUUUACCUACUUUUAUAUAUAACAAUUUAUAAAUUACUUAGUAUCCUUAAAUAAUAAGGAGGAUAUCAUAUUUUUCAAAUAAAUAAAUAAUUUAUUAUAAUAUAAAUAAAUAAUUUUACCCCUUUAAACCAAACUUUCUGACUUCACCACUGCAUUGCAUCAUCAUGAAAAGACAUCAUCAAAAAAUGGAUCCAAAAAUAUUGUUUUUUCUAAUUGAAAUUUCAAAUAAUAUCUUAUUCUUGAAAAGAACGUAAAACCAUUUUUAAAAUUUAUUCUUGUAUUCCAUUUUUCUAUUUUAUUUUUCUUUUCCCUGUAGCCGCAGCCCACAAAUUAGAUUUUACUUUUAUCUACGACCCACUAGCCAUUUUUCUAUUUUAUUUGUUUUUGUCCUUCACUCUUCUUCAAACUUCUUGAAGUGGCUUAAAUUAGACCAUGUUUUUUUUUUUAUCUUCUUAAAAGAACAUACGGAAAGGACCUUGAAUUCCAAUAUCCACCAUCAUCUGCCAGCCAUGUUGCUUUGAAUACUCCUCCCUACAUCGGAAUUUAGAAGAUGGCUCUUGCUGAAUUUUGAGAGGCAUUUGAGUUGUGAGGUGGAGGUGGAGUGGCAAAGGUGCCAUUAAAUGGCGUUCAAACGCACCUAAAUCAAUUAUGGUCAUGUAAAAGUCGAUGUUUUGCAAUAUUCACUAAUAGUUAUGCAAGGUACGUAGUGCUGCAAGAGCCAUGGAAUCAGAGUGAAAGGCACGUUUGCUUUUGCAAUGUACAACAAAAACGCACUUCUAAGCCUCACACUCAGGAUGAUUCUAUAUUAGAGUGCAGAGUCCGUUCCAGGGAGCCUCACACCCAGGAUGAUUCUAUCGUAGAGUGCAUUUAACAGUACUUUUACUUCUAAAGUUCCAUUAAAGAGUGUUUCCACGAGGUAGAACCUCCUCAGGGAAUAUAAGGUUUUCAUGAAGCUGAUCUUGAGCCGCCAUCCAAGCAAGAAUACCUUC